CGCGUAGGCGGCGCGGUAAGUCUCUUGUGAAACCUCUGGGCUUAACUCAGAGCCUGCAGGAGAAACUGCCGUGCUGGAGUGUGGGAGAGGCGAGUGGAAUUCCCGGUGUAGCGGUGAAAUGCGUGGAUAUCGGGAGGAACACCAGUGGCGAAGGCGGCUCGCUGGACCACAACUGACGCUGAGGCGCGAAAGCUAGGGGAGCAAACAGGAUUAGAUACCCUGGUAGUCCUAGCCUUAAACGAUGAAUGCUUGGUGUGAUCGGUAUCCAAUCCGAUCGUGCCGCAGUUAACGCGAUAAGCAUUCCGCCUGGGGAGUACGGUCGCAAGGCUGAA
rnacentral:rRNA from 1 species